AGUGAAUGAAAUUUUGCUAAAUUUAGCAGUACAGAGUGUUAUAUAUAAUAAUUAAAUGGAUUUCAUUUAUUAAUUCUCUUGGUAUUUUAAUUCAUUGUAAAUGUGGUGUGAGUGUAGCGUUAUACUAUUAUCGUGAUAGUAGUUGAGUUAAAAAAAAAAGAAAAACUACUCUUGUAAAGUAUAAUAAAGGAAAAUGAAUACAAUAAAUAUUCCUUAAGUGAAAAAUUACUUCCUUGUCUCGUUGGGUAUACAUUGCGUGAAUGAGUGCGCGGAGCAAGUGCAAAAAUUAAUUAAAGCCAAACAAAAAGCAAAAAACGAUCUCUACCCUUAACCCUUGGCUAAAUGAAAUGAUUUUUUUUAGGUAAUUUUAUGCUGUUUUAAGCUCUACGCCCUGCCCUAACUGUAUGUAGAUGUGUAUGUGCAAUGGACGUCGGUUGUGUUGUCUCUGCUCAAUCAAGCAUAUUUAAUGUGCUUUUGUUCCAAUUCUUCAGUGUUAACGUGCAAGUUUUCUUUUUUAUGUUUUACUUGUGUCAUAGUCGCAAGGACGUCGCUGCUUAAAAAAUCAUGAAAUAACGUAACACAUAACAAGGAUACACCUCACACUUAAACUUAUUCAACAGCAAAAAAAAAGAAGAAGGGUUGUACAACAGAUAAAGCGAAAGAGCCAAAAAAAUAGAAGAAAAAAAAAAAACUGAGAAUAUAAACAAACACUCACACAAGCACACUCCCUGAUAGCUGCAUGUGCCUAUGUUUUGUAAUCUAAAAUAAUUCGGCCUAUUCAUUCAUGUGUUGUUCUGCGUUAUGCGCGUAGCUCUCACAUAUGUUAUACUAAUGUUCGUUUAGAGUACCGUUGAAGCAUUUAGUAUUGUUUCUUCAAUGCAUCAGGUGCAUACAUAUUCAUGAUAUUUCGGCAACUUCGCACGGCAACAAAUUCACUACGCGAUGAUUGCGCUAAACAAAAUUAUGCAAGAUAAGCUGCAAAAUAAUUCAACAACGACGACAACAUGAAGAAAUUGUUUAAUUUUAAAAAAGACGAAACUUAAAGAAACAGAAAAGAAGGAAAAAAAAAAAAAAAAAAAACAAAAUAAAACCAUAAAUAUUAGUCAACAUUAGGAUUAUCGGCAACAAGACAAGCGACGAAGUGUUAAACACUUUAACAUUAAAUAUAAUACUUAUCUACGAAAUUC